AUAACAAACCUUUUUGGUUGCUUUUAUACUUUAUUUUAUACUUCAAAUUACUUUUUCGGCAUUUCUAGAAAUACACGUAUCGGAGCUGCACGUUCGUAUGUGAAGGAGAUGAAGACGUAUACUUGAGGAACAAUGAAAGAUGUUUUCUUACAGAUAGCCAAUCUCCAUCUACCCAAAUACAAUCCGUGAAUUCAGUGAAUUCACAGGGACGUAAAGCCUCUAGAGGUGUCUGCAACAAUGGAAAAUGCGUUCCCAAACAGAGGAUAACUACGCCGAGCAUAGUUACGUCUACAGUGCCAGCUCCGCCCCGUGAACGCAACCCCGAUUGUAAGGCUAUGGUAGCGAAGGUCAAGGGUUACGUUUACCACAAUUGUACGUUUGUUUGUGAAGUAGACGAGGAAAUAUGCUUGAAAAGCAACGAACUGUGUAUACUUCAAGGAGGUCAAGUUAAAUCACCCGUUCCAAGUCUAACACAACAGACAAGUGGGGCUCAAGGUGUCUGCCAAGAUGGAGUAUGCGUUCCUCAAAGCACGAAGAAGAGCUAGACUCCGCCAGAAAUAAGCAAGCGAAAUAUAUUGCUGUGUCCCCCUUUGAUUUGAAAAAAUAAAGGUUACCAGAGUGCUUUCGCAUGAGUCAAGAUAGAACACAAGUGGCUUUCAAGGUUUCUGCAGCAUGUAAAAUAAUGAUCAAUACCAGCGGUGCUGGCAAAAAGGCGAUAGACUCAAAAGUUAGAAUUACAUUAAGUAUACGGACAUUAUUACAAAUUAAAACUGCAAUUGAAAGAAAGCAUCAUUCUGCGCAAAUAAAUAUAUACGUUGAUGUCUA